UCUGGUGUCAGCCGCCGCUUGUAAAACCAGCACCUCGAGUGGUCAGGAGGUUUAUUGGGCCUAAAGCAUCCGUAGCCGGUUGUUUAAGUUUUCGGUUAAAUCUAUGCGCUUAACGUAUAGGCUGCCGAAAAUACUGGACAGCUAGGGAGUGGGAGAGGUACACGGUACUCAAUAGGAAGGGGUAAAAUCCUUUGAUCUGUUGAUGACCACCUGUGGCGAAGGCGGUGUACCAGAACACGUUCGACGGUGAGGGAUGAAAGCUGGGGGAGCAAACCGGAUUAGAUACCCGGGUAGUCCCAGCUGUAAACGAUGCAAACUCGGUGAUGCAUUGGCUUGUGGCCAAUGCAGUGCCGCAGGGAAGCCGUUAAGUUUGCCGCCUGGGAAGUACGUACGCAAGUAUGAAACUUAAAGGAAUUGGCGGGGGAGCACCACAAGGGGUGAAGCCUGCGGUUCAAUUGGAGUCAACGCCAGAAAUCUUACCCGGAGCGACAGCAGAAUGAAGGUCAAGCUGAAGACUUUACCAGACAAGCU
rnacentral:rRNA from 2 species